AUUAGCUAGGGUAGUUCUAACCCUAGGCCUAAGUUUACAUUUCUCGAAAGUCGGCAGUCAGGAAUACCAGGAUGUGUGGAAAUCUACUGACUUGCUUAAUGCCUGCUCAGUGAUAAGCAAGUGAGAAUUAAGUAAAAUAUUCCAAAUAAGGGAACUUUUGCGCAUGCAACCAGUUAGCUUAGAAAUCAGGAUUGGGGGGAUGGGGAAGAAGUCUUGCGGUUUUCUGCUUUAUAGCCCUGCUUCCGUACGUGGCCUCCCUGCUGGGAUCCUCUUGUGAAGGGACUCCCCCCCACACACACCCCCUCCGGCUUCUCAGGAGAACCGAAAUAAACUUUGCACCUGGAGACGCCUCCGAAUAGUGAAGAAAACAGUCCAAAGCGGAGGAACUCGGUGGUGAACCGAGAUAGAGAGUAUUACGGCUCCCGAAAUUCUGAAGAAAGCUAAAGCCUACCCGCUGAUGCUAGAAGGUGAUUUGCAGUCAGGCAACUUGUGCGCGCAUAUCCAGGAGUACACAGGUUCAAGCCUGGUGACUAGGUCCUGAUCCGGACAUGGAAAGAAGAAAAUCUGACUCCAGAUUGGGAAGGACCAUUCCAAGUUCUUUUGACCUCAGACACUGCUUUAAGGACUUGGGAGCCUGGUUGGACUCAUCACACCCCACUCAAAGGACCUAUGGACGCUCCAAAGGAAUGGACCAUAGUAUUUGAAUCUACAGAGGAUUUGAAAUUAACUUUUUUUAAAAUAACUUUUUAUUGAUAGAACUCAUGCCAGGGUAAUUUUUUACAGCAUUAUCCCUUGCAUUCACUUCUGUUCUGAUUUUCCCCCUCCCUCCCUCCACCCCCUCCCCCAGAUGGCAAGCAAUCCUUUACAUGUUGAAUAGGUUACAGUAUAUCCUGGAUACAAUAUAUGUUUGCAGAACCGAACAAUUCUCUUGUUGCACAGGGAGAAUUGAAUUGAGAAGGUAUAAAUAAUCCAGGAAGAAAAACCAAAAUGCAAGCAGUUUAUAUUCAUCUCCCAGUGUUCUUUCUUUGCGUGUAGCUGCUUCUGCCCAGAUUUGAAAUUAACUUGAAGUUAAGAAGUCAUUAACUCGGGGAAGGCAAUUAAUGAAUUCUAUAUAUAGAUUUCUAUUGUGCUUUAUAUUCUGGGGAACUGUAUUAGGACUUUUUCUGUUCUAGAUGGUGACUGCUCUAUUGUGCUGCUUCUGAUGGACUCCUCAGGACAAUGGGAUCAAAAUCAAACCCAAAGUUGGAAUUGUCCCUUUUAUGCCUAAUAUUGUUCCCACUAUUCACCUUCGUGGCCCCCACUUCUAAAUCCUAAAUCUAAAUGAGGAAAGAGAAUAGCUUUCAGAGUUUGACACAGACUGUUGCUGAUACUUUCCAUAUCAGGGAUUGCUGGAUGUGGGGAGGGCCCCAACAGUUUGAGCAAUUGCCCUGAGUAGCUGUGCCUUUAAGUCCAAGCAAUAAGUCAGAUGUACAUCAUGAGACUGGUUUUUGGUCAGACUGGGAGGAACAUCAGUGGACAUUGACCGAAUCAGUCCCAGGUAAAUACUGCCUGAAUCAGACAGGGGAAGGAAGGUGGCUAGGUGAAAGUCAGGUGACUGGACCUAAUCUGUAAGCAUUGGAAAUAACUAAAUUAAUUGUACUAGGUACCAAAAUAUAUGGAAUAGUACUCAUGUACAAUGUGGAUAAUAGCACAUGGAUCUCAUGUCAAAAUGACAAGACAAGACUUUUAGAGAGUUGCUCAUAUAAGCUGGGAGUGAAUGCGGCAGAAGAUUAUGAAGGAGUCUGAAUAGCAGUCUGUAUGAAGAACAACAAAGGGAUACAACCUCCCCAGUUGUGAUUGGGGAAAUAAAAGUUGGGAAAAGUAAAAUUUGGUCUGGGUACUUUGAUAUAUUCUGGAGUCGGACUAAUAUAGGUAGCCACCCAUGUUGAGAAAUGCCUGUGGAAUCCUAGACGUCAGUUAUGGAGUUGCCAAUAUCAUAGAAGCUCAUAUAUUUGUGCAGGUGGUCCUCUAGGAGAUAGGGAUCUGCAGUAUUAUCCAGUAACCAACAAGAACAUCAAUUUGUCAAAAAAAAGAACUCUUCCUUGAAAGGGUACUAUUAGAUUUGUGGGCAGACUGUGGACACCCUCCUCCCCCUUAAUUGGAAUGGCGUUUGUUAUAUUCGUUUAAUCAGACUUAAAUUUUUCUUUCUGCCCAGUUCUGGGAAAAGUUAUUUGGAGGUUCAGCUCCAUAAUGAUCUGGACAGAGAAAAACGAAGCAUUGACACCUCCCUCACUCAAACCAGGGAUGCUAAUGGAUGGGGAGAUUCCUGGCCUCCUUUGAGAAUACUCAAAGAAUAUGGACCUGCAACAUGGGCCCAGGAUGGGAAGUUGGAGAUAUAGUAGUAGAUAAAGUAGUAGAAAUUGUCACUAACCAGACUUCAAAGGCCCUAGCUUUGGUAGGCAACCAAGCCACCCACAAGAGAGGUGGUCUUGCAGCAUAAGUUAAUCUUAGACUACCUAUUAGCAGAGGAAGGGGGAGUUUGUGGAAAAUUAAAUCUACCUGUUGCAUGCAAAUCGAUGACAAUGGGAAACUGGUAAAGAAAAUUACUAGGAGUAUAAGAAAGCUUGCUCAUGUUCCCAUACAGACAUGGAGUUCCCCUUUUAACAUGUCUUGGUGGUUCUGGUUCUGGGGGAGCUGGUGGAAGCAGUUGCUUUGGUUUGGGCUAUACCUCUCAGUGGGAUCAUAUUCCUUCCUCCCUCUCUUCCUCUCCCUCCCUCCCUCCCUUCCUUCCUUUCCUUCUUUCCCUUCCUUCCUUUCCUUUCUUCCUUCCUUUUUUCCUUCCUUCCUUCCUUCCUUCCUUCCUUCCUUCCUUCCUUCCUUCCUUCCUUCCUUCCUUCCUUCUUUCCGAAAUUGGGGUUAAUGAUUUACCCAGCGUUACACAGCUAGGCAGUUUUAAGUGUUUGAGGUUAAAUUUGAAUUCAGGUUCUCCUGACUUCAGGACCUAGCCUAGCCCCUCAUGCUUUUCUUUAUUCAUUCAUCACACAUUAUGGACUAAAAUUAACAGCAUUUCUCAUUGAUAAACAUCUAUUUUCUUUUUUCUUUUCUUUUCUUUCUUUCUUUCUUUCUUUCUUUCUUUCUUUCUUUCUUUCUUUCUUUCUUUCUUUCUUUCUUUCUUUCUUUCUUUCUUUUUUUUUUUUUUUUUGGCUACCUAGCCUGCCCCCAUGCUUUUCUUUAUUCAUCACACAUUAGGGACUAAAAUUAACAGCAUUUCUCAAUUGAUAAGCAUCUCUUUUCUUUUUUUCUUUUUUUGCCAUCACAAAAAAAUGCUAAAUUUAAAUUUUUUGAUAUAUAUGGGGACUUUUUAUAGGUUUAUUGGGAUAUAAGCCCAGUAACAGAGUCUGAUUCAAAAGGAAUGAAUGUUUUUGUUAUUUUAUAUGCAUAAUUCCAAAUUGCUUUCCAAAAAAGAUUGUACCAUCUCUCAUUUCCACCAACAAUGUAUUAGUGUGUGUUUAUCUUUCUCCAACCCCUCCAAUGUCUAUUGCCAUUUUUUGGGAGGGUUGCCAGUUUGCCACUUUGUAAUGUGAAAUCUCAGGAUUUUUGUGAUUUGCACUUCAAUUUUUAUUAAUAUUUGGGACAUUUUUCAUAUAGUUCCUAUUCUUUUGGCAAUUGUUUGUUCAUAUUUUUUUACUAUCUAUUGGGGAAUGGCUCUUCAGACAUUUUCAAAGAAUAAUUGCAGGUAUGAGGAUAAUAUAGUAGCUUUAUAACUAACCAUGGUGAACUUUUGUAUUAUUAAAUAAUUUGAUGACUAUCCAAUUAUCUUAAAUUUGUAGUUCUUUUGGACAUAAAGACAAAAUGGGACCUCAGUUUGAGUCUAAUGUGUUGCUCAUUUGCUGGAUUGUUUGAACAUAAUCUUACAUAUAUUGACUAUUUUAAUGUAGUUUUGUUUUUUCAUGUUUAGGAAAUAUAAACUGAAGAACAAAUAUAUUAAACUAAAAGGCAUUGAUUGAGUUGAAAAGCAAUCUUGCUAAGCUAAAAACAAGCAUACUUUAAUACUGAAAAAGUUUUUUUCUAUAUUAAUAACAUCUGAAUACCCAACUAACCAGAAUCUUAUCCAAUAAUAUUUCCGGUAGAAUUUAAGUUCUCUGCAAUUGUUUUUCUUUAUUGCAUGACUCCCAUUGUAUGUGCUUUACACACAUAGUAGGUUAUUAGUAAGUCAAGUAAUAGCAAAAGUACUGGGUUAUUGGAUUUGCAGAGUAUGUGGGAAUGAAUAAGAUAUAAGAAGACUGCAAAUGUAUGAGGGGCCAGGUUUUGAAGGACUUUAAAAAUGAAACACAAUUUUAUAUUUGAUCCUGGAAGCAAUAGAGAGCCACCAGAGUUCACUUAAUGGGGAAGGGGUUCAUGAAGUGGUCAAGGUUGUGCUUUAGAAAGAUUUGUUUGACAUGUGAGUGGAAGAUAAAUUGCAUGUUAUGUUAUGUUAGUUAUGUAUGUGUGUACAUAAAUGUUUGUGUGUGUGUAUGUGUAUCCACACAUAUUUGAGUCCUAUGGAGUCCUACUUCUUCUGCUAGCCUUAUGUUGACUCUGCAUUCCCUUAACAAUCUUAUCCUUGUGCUUUUUAAAAAAAAAAUUUUCGAGAUCUAUAGAGUAAUCCUUUGUUAAUUUAGUUGGUAUGGCAUUAAAUAAAUUAUUUUGGGUAAUAUUAUUUUUAUGAUAUUGUCAUGGCCAUGCUGAAUCCAAAAGGACCCUGUGAUGAGGUUCUAGUGGCAGUCAGAGUUGUGGAAAUCCCCUUUUGGUUGACACAGGUCCUUCAUGAAAGAAUUCAUGAACCCAAAGAGUUUUAGGUAGCAAAAAUGGAAGUUUUUUGUUGGAUGAGAAGUCAGCUUUUCUAGAAAAACUGACUUCUUCAGUAGCAAAGUCUUAUUAGGGAAAUGGAGGCUGGCACUGAGAAGAUAAUGUCUUCUCAGUGGGCAGAGUCCUGGCAGCUACUGCUUUGGACAUUCUGCAAUGAAACGAGUAAACAGAAACCUAUUAUAUGAGCAGAUCUUGGCGGGGCCUGGGGCAGUGGUUAGGAUCUCCUAAAUGAAAUUAUUUUGAAGCCUAAAUUUGAAUGGAGAUCUGGCUAUCAGUGGAGGUUGUUUGCCUUAGAAAUGGCCCAGGCAGAAGGAUAUGCUCUCAUAGACUCUCUGGAGUCUGAGGGGUCAGGAAUCAAAGGGGACACAAUAUCAGAGUGUUAAUUCAUACCCCCAUCAUCUGUAAGUUUCUCAUGUGAGAACCUGAACUUAGCCUCAUAUGUUAGAUCAAAGUGAGAAGCAUGACCAUAGAGUGACUUUGCCUAUUUCUGUUCUACUUACUUGGGCUCACACCUGUGAGGUACUUCUAUAGAUAAGAUCAGUUUUACCCCUACAAUACUGACACUGGAAGUCCCCUUAAGGCCAUUUCCAUCAUUGCAUGCAUCCUGUUGCUCCACUAUUGUAUACAUCCCAAACUCAUUCCCAACAUUGUGUGCAUCAAGUUCUUGCUUUAGGCUGUGAGAAAUAUAUAUGAGAAAUAUAUGUGUGUAUAUAUAUAUAUAAUUUUGUAUAACAGCUUCCUGAUGAUCCAACUGCAUUGCUUCUGUAUCCAAUAUAAACGCUGUUCCUCAGUCACUCUAGACCAAAUGAUUUUUGAACAUGAGUUUGAUUUAGUCGGCUAGCCAAACUGUUCCCAUUAAAAGAUUAAAAGCUAAUCUCUGUCUUGCUUCAGUUUCUCUGGCAUUACAGCCAAACCUCGAUUAAUUGAUAUUUUCCAAUUAUUUGGUUCCUUCUUUAUUUUUCUAAAAAGUGUUUUAUGUUUAUAUUCAGAUAGGUCAAGUAUAUGUGUUGGUAGGAAGGUAUUUGAACAUUGUCUACAUUCUGUAAUUAUUCUGAGGGUAAUUAUCAAGUCCUAAUAGAUUUAAAAAUUUUUUUUGCAAUGCACAGAAUAUUUGUAGUUAUUAAUUUUAUAUCCUGCAAUUUUGCUGAAAUUUAAAUUGAUUUCAAGGUUUGCUAGAAAAACUUUUGUUAAACAUUUUGUUUAAAAGCAACAUCUUUGUUUUCUUGGUAUGUAUACUUAUUCCCUCAAUUUAUUUUUCUAAUGUUAUUGUUAUGGUUUUGAUGUGUGUCCUUAUGUCAAAUAAUAGUUGUAAUAAUGGCUAUCCUUGCAUUAUUCUAUGUAUUCUAUAUAUUGGAAUAUUCUCCAUCACAUAUAAUGCUAGGUCUUGAUUUUUAGUUAGAUAAUAUUAACUAUAUUAAGAUCUAUUACUAGUUAUACAGUGAGUUUUCCUUUCAAUAUUGUUAAUUUCUAUUUUGAUUUUCAGAAUUUUUAAUCUGAUACUUAAGUUGGGGUUUUUUGACUUGCAUAUUUUAAGUUCAUGUCCAUUUCAUUGAUCUGUUAUUUCUCUUUUGUGAUGAGGAAUGCAUUUGAAGCGAAUUUUCCCUUAGGAAAUGUUUUAGAUGUAUCUAUCCAAGUUUUGAUAUGUUUGAUAUGUCUUGUCAUUUUCUUUGGUAAAAAUUUCUGCUGUUUUUAUGACUUAUUGACCCAUGAAUUACUUAGGAUUAAAUUCUUUAUUCUCCAAUUAAUUUUAAUUCUUCAUGUACCCUAUAUUGAAGUAUUUUUUAUUGAAUUAUAAUCUUAAAAUAUGUCUUAAUAUUUCAGCUUUUCUGCAUUUGUUUGUUAGAUUAGUAAUAAUUUUGUAAAUGUGCAUGAAACAACUGAAAAAAUAUGUAUAUGAUUUCCUGUUCCCGUUGAAUAAUCAUCAGAGAUUUGUCAUAGAUUUUCUUCAGUUCUUUACCCUAUUUAUAUUUCUGUUGGAUCUUUCUAGGUCUGAAAAAGGUCGGUUGAAAGUAGUCUAUUUCAGGAUUUCCCUUUAUAAUGGUAGUUACCAAGUUUAAGAAGAACUUGAUCAUGAUUCCUUGAUAUUUUUUCUAUUUGCAGUUUUUUUUUUCUUUUACUUGAAAACUCUGAAUUUUCAAUGUUUCAAUAAACAUUUUAACCAUU